CUCGGCCUUAAGCCGUCCUGGGUGUAUGUGAGGCUGAAAGGGAAGGAGGAACAGGGUCUGGGCCGCUGUGUGCUCUGCCGUCAUCUCUAAGAAACAACCAUACCACUGAAUGCUACUGUGUACUUACAAACCACACUCAUAUUCGUCACGUCAUUUCAUCUUCACCCCCACCUCCAAAUGAGGUAAGCAGAUAUUAUCCCUAUUUCAUGAAUGAGGUUACUGAGGCCCAGAGAAGUGACUUGCCCAAGAUGACUCAAAUAGUAAAUGGCAGAGAUGAAACUCAAAGGCAGGGCUGAUUAUUCCAAGGUCCUUGCUGCCACAGAUACACUUCUUUGACUCUAGGAGUUCACAAACGAAGUGAGGAGACAGGAGGCUAGGGGCAGAAUGUGUGCAUUCUGGAGGUAGAGGGGGUGGUCUCUCCUGCAGGCAGAAGGCAGAGGCAGGGUUAGAAAACCACACCCCUUCGGGGGGACUGUGGCAGACUGAUACUUGGGACAUCCAAUGGAGGCCUGUGAGGUCAGGGGCGGGGCUAGCUCCAGGGUGGGCCCCAGGAGCCCCAACAGUAGUUCAGAGCAUGCGGUGUCCUGGAAGAAGCUACAAGCGGUGAGUGAUAGCCUCUCCCCAGCUGAGGCCUUCUUCCCAUCACAACUCUGUCUGUCUCCUCCCUGCCAACCUAGAGCCCUCUCCCUGA
rnacentral:sRNA from 1 species